rnacentral:lncRNA from 1 species
CCCCUUGCCUCCAUUUGUGUAAUUGUUUGCAAAGCCCCCAAGACUUGCACAAGGUGGGGACUCCGUGCAUUUGACCGUGCUCCAUCAGCCAGGGAAACACAUCUGUGAAAGUAGGUGUGAGGCGCCCCCAUGAGUGGACAGGGAGGGGUGGAGGUACAGGAUGUGUCGUGAAGGAGUGUGAGCAAGGUCUCAUUGACUUGUGUUUGUCCUGGACAUGAUGUGGUUUGGCUCUGUGGCUGGGGGGAAGGAGGAGGGCGGUAGUCCUAGUAUUUUGAGACAGUGCCAUUGGAUCCCUUCUUUGCACGAGAUUUGUGGGUGGAGGGAGGUGAUGCUGGUGCCAGUGGAGCCUGUAAUCUGUCCCUCUGAUUGAUGGGCACUGGUCGGGAUCAGGCAGAGCGAUAUGCAGAGUAGAAUUUGACACGGGAAUCAUUAGUUGUGGUUGCAGACAUGAACGAAGAAGAUAACAGGUUUUCUUUUUUCUCCUGCUGCAGGGGAGUUUAGACAUCAACCAGCCCAACAUUUCCCCCGUCUCCCUACUUGGCAGCAUCUCUGGGAAGUGACUAAAAUACAGAUUCCCAGGGAUCCUCGGGGAUUCAGAUGCUCAGCCAGAUUUGAGAACCACUGACCUAGAACCCAACUCCCUAAUUUUAUUGCAUCUUCAUUACAACGGCUUUGAAUGCCACAUCAACAUGGAGCUACUCAUACAGAUCUUUAAGGUCAGUGGAACUGCCACCGUCACCCUCGGUAGCCAAUAUGGAUAGGGAGGAGCCCAGUGGCCAAGGGAGGACUUGCUGAAGGUCCUGCAACCUGUGAGUGACACCACUGGGUCUACAAUCUCGACACUUGCUUUCCUCUCUGGGAGAUGCCCACCUUCAAUUCUAGAAUGCCACACACCUCAUUUCGUAUUUUGUAAUAUUUAACUUCUGUAUUAAACAUUUGCAAUUAGCCUUAAAAGAAAUGAUUGAUGGCCUUUCCUCAUUUUUAAAAAGAGUGCUUUGCAGAUACAUAAAGGUAAGAAGCUGUUAGGGGAGGUUUUAUGGCAGAUGGUUCUUGGCAGCCAUCGCUUUUCUUUUAUGGCAGUCUGGAAAUUUUCCUGGGUAAUAACUUGCUUUUCUUUUAACAGGCAUAAAAAAGAGGUUCUAGAUAGUUGGCUCAUUAUCAAAUGAUUUUCCAAAGACAACCAUAAAUUGUCA